rnacentral:rRNA from 1 species
UACGUAGGGUCCGAGCGUUGUCCGGAAUUACUGGGCGUAAAGCGCGCGCAGGCGGCCCGCGAGGUGUCACGUGAAAGCCCCGGGCUCAACCCGGGAGGGUCGUGGCAAACCGGCGGGCUUGAGGCCGGUAGAGGUGGGUGGAACUCCUGGUGGAGUGGUGAAAUGCGUAGAGAUCAGGAAGAACACCGGUGGCGAAGGCGGCUCUCUGGAACGGUACUGACGCUGAGACGCGAAAGCGUGGGGAGCAAACAGG